AUUAAGCAACAUUAUAAGGAUUCAAACAGAGGCUGGGCGUGUUUGCUCACACCUAUAAUCCCAGCACUUUGGGAGGCCGAGUCAGGCAGAUCACUUGAGGUCAGGAGUUGGAGACAAGCCUGGCCAACAUGCUGAAACCCCAUCUCU